rnacentral:lncRNA from 1 species
AUUUAUUUUCAGGGCAACAAUGGCAUCCAUCUCAGCUGUGAAUAUUUCCCCACUAUGCAUGUUUCAACCCGCAAACCGCAUUCAAUCAACCAGUGCUACCUUAGUGAAGUGCCCUUCCGCUUUUGGCUCUAUGAGAAGUGUUUCCAGAUCUUUUGGCUUGAAGUCAUCCUCUUCAUAUAGAACAACUGCCAUGGCUGCUUACAAGAUUAAGCUAAUUGGACCAGAUGGAAAAGAGGACGAGUUUGAAGCUGCUGAUGAUGUCUACAUCUUAGAUGCAGCAGAGAAUGCCGGAGUCGAACUCCCUUACUCGUGCCGUGCUGGAGCGUGCUCUACUUGUGCUGGAAAGGUUGUUUCUGGCUCAGUGGAUCAAUCUGAUGGCUCAUUCUUGGAUGAUACUCAACUUAAGGAAGGCUUUGUGCUUACCUGUGUUUCCUAUCCCACAGCAGACUGUGUUAUCCAAACUCAUAAGGAAGGUGAACUCUACUGAGAAAUUGUGGCUUGAAAGUUAAAACCAUUGCUCGAGGAAACUGAGAAUUUAAGGUAGAUUUUAUGGCGGAUUUUGCUUUAGAAUCUAUCUUUCUUUUAGCAUUAUUAAUAGUGAUAUGGGUUUUAGAAGAUGGUAAGUUUGACAUUUAAAUGUGAUCAAGGGUGUUAUUUUAGUUAUGAAGAACAUGAUGAAGUAUUUGGAGGAAGAAACAACCUUUCAUAAUUGGUAGAGAAAUUUCACUUUCUUUUUAAAAUAAACAAAAUCUAUCUUGUUAUAUCAAUUGUCAAUAGCUGCUAUUUUAACUUACCUAAACAUAUUUCAUUAAUUGAAAGAUGUGGCAAUUUUCAACUAGGGAAUAAGUUGUUAUAGUUUAUUUUUUCAGUUGGUUUAAAUUAAGUUAAAUAUAUAAAAUAUAACCUGCAUAACUCAAUUUAAAUAGUAACUAUUUUUUUGAUACGUAUAACAGUGAGAAAGCUAGCAAAUUUGAAGAUUUGAUAUUAUUGUCCUUUGCAAUGUUUACCUAUGUAUGUUUCAAAAUUCAAAGAACAAUAUAUUAGUUUGAUUUUUAAAAUCAUUUUGACAAAACUUCGAUUUUAAAUAGAUUUUGAUUUUAAUCAAAAUUAUUUAAUUUAAUUUAAAUUUUAUUUUUUUUAAAUUAAUAUUAAUUUUUAAAAUUUAAAACCAUAAAUAAAUUUUAUGAGAUUUUAAAAUAUUAUUUCUUUUAAAAUUUAAAAAAACAUAAAAGAAACAAAUUCUUUAGAAAAAAAAUUGAAAUAAUAAAAUUAUUUUCUGAAAAUGAAAAAAAAAAAUUGAAAACAAAAAAAAUCUUUAAAAAAAGUUAUUCCAAAAAAUAAAAAUAACUGAAAAAAAUUUAUUUAAAGAAAAAUGGAAAUUGGAAAUAAAAAAAUUAUAAAAAUACAAAAUAUUUUUUAUUCUGAAAUUAUAAAAAAUUAUUAUUUAAAUUUUUUUUUUGAAAUUAAAUUUUUUUUUAUUCUGAAAAUUUGAAAAAUUAAUUUACUGAAAAAAAUAUAAAAUAUUUUUUAUUUAGAAGAAAAUAAUAAUUUUAUUUGAAAAAAAUAUUAAAUUAAAAAAAUUCUGAAUAUAAUAUUUUUUGUAAAAAAAUAUUUUUAAAAUAAUUUUUUUAUGAAAUUUAAAAAUAUUUAAAAUAUAAAAUUAAUUUUAAUGUGAUAAAAAUGGAAAGAGACAAAAAUAAAAAUUUUAGUAAAAUUUAGAUAUCCAAUAACAAAACCUAAUUUUUAUAAUGGAUAACAGUUUAUAUUUGAAUAACAAAAUGAAUAUUCAAAUUUUUAUUUUAAUAUUUGGUUUGAUUUUUUAAAAAUAGAAUAAUUUAAUACUAAUUUAAUUAUGAAUAAACCGUUUUUUUUCACAUCCCUAUAUAUCAUAGUCAUUUUUCUUGCUAACUAAAUAUUUAUUUUCACAGCUUAUAAAAUAUUUUGCCAUGUCAGCAUCUGUAAUAAAUUAUACGAAUUAAAAAAAAGGAUAAAAAUAAUGCUUUCCAACCACAAAUCAAAUUUAAGAAUCUAUUACUAGUAAAAUAAGUGUUAACAUCUUAUACCGUCCACUUGAAAUAAUUGAUUUAUAAUUAGUUUUAUAAAAAUUAAAUAUUUAAACACUAAUAUAUUUUACUCCAAAAAGUAUAAUAACAUAUAUAACAAAUUAUUUAUACAAUAGCAACUAAGUUUUAUUCCACUAAUAUGGUCUUAUCUUCUGGACUAUAGUUUUUUUUAAGUGUUUCUCUAUAUCUAAGUGUUUGAUUCAUUUUCAUUUAACAUAUCUUCUUUAGAAAAUUGCGUAAGACAUCAUAAAGAUUGUUACUAUACUUUCGUAAAAAAAUAAAAAUAUUUUUAAGAUUCAGAGAUGUAUUGUUAGACUAAUCCCAAAUAUAUUUGGUUCUCAGUCUGAUCUUAAGACUAUGUAAAAAAAAUUACGGAAAUUAAUCUUCCUAUAAAUUAUGGAGAUGCUUCUCUUGACACUAUUUUAAUAAAAAAUACGUCAGAUUCUUUCUCAUUCCUCGCUUUUUAAAAUACUCUCUCAACUCCUAUUCUCUCAUAGUCAUUCAACUCACUUUAAAUUUUCUUUCAUCAACAUCAAAUCGAUCAAAGAGUUUACUCAACAUCAAACUAAACUCACAAUUGAUAAGUUUAUGAUUUUUUUUUUUAAUUUCUAUAUACAUUUGUAGGAAUUGAGCAUUAAGUUAUGUAAUAUGUAAUUUAGAUAUGUUAGUGAAAUGAAUAAUGUGUUUAAUAGAUAGUUUAAAUGAUCAAUGCAUUAUUUUGGAUGUUGGUAUAAACUGCAUUUCCGCCAUUAACAUGCUUUUGAGUUGUAGUACCUUAUGGAGAUGCAUCUCUAGAUUUUUUCAAUGUUUUGAUUUCUAGAAUCUAGAGAUGUAUCUCCGGAACUUUUUCAGUUUGCUUUGUUUGGCUUGAUCUCAUUGUGUUUCAUAUGUAUAAUGCUUGUGUGAUUUACUUACAGACAAUAUGGUUGAUAACCUAGAUAGAUUGAGGCAUAACAGAGUUGCACAUCAUGCAUAGAGGGAAAAAGCUCGCUCAUCGCAUGCACCUGUUGUUUUUAGCCCGAUUGAUGCGAGAGCGUCAACUUUUGAGGCUCAUGCAUUUCCACCUUACAUGUGUCACCUACUCAGACACCUGAGGCACUGGAGGCACCUAAGGCUCCGCAGGCACCUGAGGCACACGAGGGAUUUGGAGGAGGUCCUUCAGACUUAUUACUCCUGCGUCUAUACCCGAACCAUGAUGCCAGACAUGUCUAGGACGGAAAGGUAAAAUUAAGUUGUAUUCCUUCUUUGAAAUAUCAUUUUUAUAAUAUUCGAAGUUUUCGACGAUGAGUUAUUUUCCUGCAGGACCAUGAUGCCUUAAAAUUUAUCAACCAUGGUCAAAAGAUUACGGGUCAACAACAACCUAAUGAGCAUUGGUCUAAGGAUGUGAUGCAACUAUCUGGGCUGAGAGACUUAUGCAAUAUCGAUUAUGUUACAGUUAACCAUGGUAUGCUAUCAACAUUUGUAGAGAGCACUCGAAGACGACAUCAUUUCAUUUUUCACACAGUGAGAUGUUUAUCACACUAGACGAUGUCUCGUGCCUGCUGCAUCUUUCGAUCAUGGGGAGACUGUUAGAUUACAACAAAAUUAACAUAGAUGACACAAUGGAGACGAUUGUAGACUAGCUUGGAGCUGACCCAGAGAAUGCCAUGCCAUACAUCGAAAAAUCCAUGAGCGCAUCGCACGCUCGAAGAUACAACAGAGUCGCCACCGAACUAUAUUUAUUCUAAAAGGAAAGAGAAAAUAUCGAUAAAAUCCAAGGGAAAGAGAAAUGGGUAAGGAAGUCGGUUAUGCAAGGGGAGGGUAUUAACAUCCCUCACAUUUGUUGUACUUAACGAGAACCAUUUUUAUUGUUCUUUGCUUGAAUGUGUGUUACUAUCUAAAGGUUACUUGCAAAUGAUAAAAGGGAAAAAAUAAGUUUAUAGUUAGUGUGCUCACCAAGGAUUCAAACCCUCGGGCCUACGUAUUCUCACAAUGCAAUGAGAAAAUCAGAGCUCCGUAGUUCGUGGUAGAAAAUAUAGAUUUGUUGGUUGAUUUUAGGGAACAAUUAUAAUCAUAUUCUAGAAGUGUAUAGACGUUAGCUGAUUAUGAUCCUUGUUCGGAUGCUCUAAACUUUUAGUCUGACUGCUAAUGAACAUAUUAUAACAGUUCUUUUGUGAAAAGAAAGAAAAUUGUUUUGAAAAAACGUUUGUGUGAUAAAAGAAAAAGAAAGAGUUGCUUGAAUAUAAUUAAAAGAAAAGUUGCUUGAACUGUAAAAUAAUUUGAAGUGUAAGAAGAGGAGUAGGAAAUGUAGAAAUGGGUGUGAAAUGUGUUGUGAAAUGACAAAGAAGUUGUUUGUGUAUGGUGACAGUAUUGUUUGAACCAAAAUUAUGUUGUUUGGACCCAUAAGAUAGGUGUGUCUGAGCCAAGGAGUGUGUAAACUAAGGAUGGGGUAUUUUAACCGAUAAACGGUGAUUAACCAUGCAUGAGGGUGUGUUAACCAAGGAGUGGUGAUUAACCCAUGAAUGAAAAUAUGUGGUAUUUUAACCAAUAGACGGUGAUUAACCAAUGCAGGAGUUAUAGGGUUUGUUAAUCGAGAAGUGGUGAUCAACCCAAAGAAUGAGAAUGUGGUAUUUUAACUGAUAUCCGGUGAUUAACCAAUGCGGAAAGUUGCCUGAGCAUGGAGGUAAUAUGGCAAUGCAUGAAAAAAUAACUUCAUCUUCUUCACUUCCAUGUUUGUCUUAUUCUUCUAAGCUUCCAUUGCUUUGCUCCACCACCGGAGGCGGAAGAGUUUUCCGGAACAGUCAAGUUGCAACAUAAAAAAUGCUCAUAUCCAUCUCCUCUUUAUAUAUAUCUCAUCAAUUCAAUUCACCACUCAACCAAUUUUCAGAAUUGCAUCAAGAAAGUGAUGAACCCUAACCUCUAAAACAAAAAUUAAAUGAUAGAGGGGAAGAAUCAAGCCGCCAAACCUUGGGGCUUUGUUUCUUCAAUGCAAGAGCUACAUUAUGGUAUCAAGAUUCAAGCAAACUGAGGCAAAAGAAAAUUCACCGACAUGCAAGACAUAGGUUUGUCUUGGAAAUUGUUGAAAUCUGAAGGUGCUGAAGAUGAAGAAAACCAGAGGUAUGCUACUUUGAACCUUUAAUCUUUUGCUUCUGCAAUGAACUUAUUCCUCUUCAAGAAUUAAUUACGUAAAAUUAUGAACUAGAUUAUUGCUGCUAUUGUUGAUUGUAUGAGUAUGAGAGUAGUAUGGAGUGUAGAAGGUUUAGCUCAAAUGGUGACAAACUUCAAUGUGAAGCUUGCUCCAAUGGUGGUAGAGCUUUGGUGAGGCGAGGGAGAUAAAUUGAGAGAGACAAUUCUGAAUUUAUAGUGGAAUGUUUAGAGAAUGAAUGAUUAUGGUGGUUGUUAUUAUCGUUGUUAUUGGUUGAAGAGUGUGGUGAGUUUAUAUAGAUGAAUUUCCCAACUGUUUCGGGCAUCUCUGUUAGAGGUUAGGGCAACAGUUAGUGUUAAUGGAUUCCAAGAGUAAGUUGGUUAUGAAAUUAACAGAGUUAGAGUUUCUGUUAGAUUGAAUUUGACAAUUGGAAUGGUCAAUGAAGUGGCAUUUAGGAACUGUUAUGACAUGUUGGUGAGGUUAGGAUUGAAGUGAAUUAGUGUAGUUCAAGUGUUGGUGAAUGUUUGUGAUGUUGUUGUAAUGCUUAGUUCAAAGAUAGGAAACUGCUAGUGUUGUUGCAUCAUGUUCAUGUGUUGUUAUGUGAACAUGUUAUAGGAAUUGGACUUGUUUUUUAGGGUUUAAAAUGGGACUGUGAUGCUGAAAUUAAGCUGAAAAUUGAAAAAUUAGCAGGUGUAACCGGUUACCGGGUUUUGUGUAAUCGGUUACUAGAAUGAAAAAAGGUGUUCUGGGUUGCUGAAUAAGUUGAUGAAACACAUGUGUAACCGGUUACCAGGUUUUGUGUAACCGGUUACCAUAAUGCAAACAUGCCUCUGGGUGUUGGAGAAAUACAUGUAGCCGGUUACUAAAAUGAAAACUUGGCUUUCUGGUGAGCUGAAGUAGGUGUAACUGAUUACCAGGUUAUCAACUCAAAAAUUGGCCCUUUUUAGUGUUUUGGUGCAUUGACUCAUGUGUGAAGCAUAAGGUUUUGGCCUUUUUCUCAAUGUACAUGUGAUUUUGCAGGGUUGGUGUUAUAUGUUUGUCGUGAAGCAUUAUCUAUGAAGGUUCAGCAAGAGGUGUGGAUUUGACAAGAAGAUAGACCAGGGCUUAGGAUAGGUUGACCUUGGUAAACUAUUUGACCAAAAAGUCAACAGUUGACCAAAGGUCAACUGUAAGUCAAAAAGAUGAAAUUUUGUAUGCAAAUUUGUAAUUUGGAUCCUUUGUAAUGAAAUAGAUUUUGAAAUGAAAGGUGUAUGUAAAUUUUGUUUCAAGAAAGCAAGGUUCCCUUCCAAAUUUACAUCUCUGAAUAUUUGAAUUUGCCUUGAAUAUGACUUUGAAUGAACCUAGAAUUUGAAUUUCUUGAUCACUUGAAUGAAGUGAUAUGCCAUGGAUCAAACAAAUCAAAGCCCAAGAUAAUCAUUAUCUUCCAUAUACUAUGCCAUGAUGUAAUCAACACAACCACAAGCAUAUACCGAAGAUUAAAGUUCCACAAACUUGAUUUACAAGAAAUGAAUCAACCAUCAUUGUUGUGCCAACAUCACUUUUGUAUCAUAAUUAUCAAAACUCUUGAAUCAAUGAUGUUUAUAUGAAGAAUGAAUGCAUAUGGCAUGGGCAUGCAAAUGAACUGAGGAAAGAAAUGAAUCAACCAUCAUUGUUGUGCCAACAUCACUUUUGUAUCAUAAUUAUCAAAACUCUUGAAUCAAUGAUGUUUAUAUGAAGAAUGAAUGCAUAUGGCAUGGGCAUGCAAAUGAACUGAGGGUUAAAAGUCAGAUGAAAAAUGAAAAAGGGAGGACAAAUUUUGGGGUAUGAUAGUUGCCCAUAUUUAAUCUUCUUUGACCUGUAUGUACGAAUGGUGAUGACCGUUCGGGAACUUAAGGUAGAAGAGGAUUAAGGGCUCAUUUGUUUUGGCUUUUUUUAAAUGAUUUUUAUAGUGUUACAUAUUUUAGUGUAAAAAAAAUUUACAAAGAAACUUUUCAUAAAAGUUUCAAAUUAAAAUUUGGUUUGAAUAGUUAUUCUUAAAAUAUUAUUUUAGAUAUUUUAUCAUUUUAUCGAAACUUUUUUUGGAUAUCAAAUUUUCAAAAAAUCACUUAAUUUUGAAGCUAUUUCAAUUAGCUUUUCAUAAAAAUCAUUUUUAAGAUACACUUUUUUGAAAAAAAUUUGUGAUUUCGACUAUGUUUUGAUAUUCAAUAAUAUAUAUUUAUGUUAUAGAAUGAACAAUUCAAUCUUUUAAUUUAUAAAAAACAAAUUUAAAAAACUUAUAAUAUUUUAAAAGACAUUUUUGUAGAAUCCAUUUUCAAAAAUACAAAGAAAAAAUCCAUUUUUUUAAAGUUAAAACAAAUUGGCCCUAAAUACAAGAAUAUCCAAAAAUUUGUCUGUGAGGAUGGAGUGAAUGAGGUGUGAGGAAGGGAAGUGUAUUGGGUAUUUGUUUAUGACAGGUAAACUUUUGUGAUGUCAUCUGAUGGGGAUUGAAUGAAAUAUUAUGUUGGGGAAAUAACUUAGUCGCAAGGGAAAUGUUUGAUAUGCAUGAUAUAUGUGUAAUACCCCAAAAUUUACCCUUCAUUCUUCUUGGAAGCAUGAGAUUGUGUUUCACAUUGCAUUAGCAUCAUACUAGGUCAUACUCAUUGCAUAUUGCAUUAGUGACUUGGGAAAUCAGGGUUUUAUUGAUCACUCCUCAACAGAAGGAGCCUACACAGAGCAAGACUGAGAAUUUAACUUCAUUCUCCAAUUAUACAAGUCUCAAAGAGUUCCAUAUGUCUUAUUAUGUUCCUCAGUUCAUCAGUGGGAGAUUCAGAACUCUCAGAGUGUGCAUAUGGAGUUAAUCAGAAAUCAGGGUUUCAAGUUGUGGCGGAAAUUGGGUUGGAGAGAAGCGUAAUCGAAGAUUUCUUUGGCGAGAAGAGGGUCUGAUUGGGAAGCAAUGAGUUUCUGGACUCUGGUUGGAGAACCGAUUGGAGAAGAAGAAGAAGAAUGGAAUUGGUGUUGCAGUGAAGAAGAAGAUGAUGAGAAUACGCCAUUUGAAGCAAUGGUUCUUAGAUUUUUUGAUAACACUGUAAACGAUCGGUGCAUCGUUUUUUCAGAUAACUGACAACAGAGUGAAUGAGUGAAUGAGUGAAGCAAUGGUUUGGCGGCGAGUAGCGAAUCUGUGGGUGGGUGGGUUAAACAUAUUCCUUCGUUCCAACAACAAACAACUAUACUAUUUAUUUAUUUAUUUAUUUAUUUAUUUAUUACGCCCAAUAAAAUAAUAAUAAUAAAAAUAAAUAAAUAGAACCUAAAACCCAUCACUCUCUCUCACUUCGUUUUUUCCGCUUCCAUCUCUAACCAACGCAACCACCACCGUCUUCUCCUCUGUAAGCUCUUCCAUUCUUCAUCACUUUUUCUUUAAUAUAGAUUUUACUAUUAUUAAUAUACUCUGCAAUUUAUCUCAACUAGUUAUGCUAUUACUAUACCCUUCAUCAAAUCAAACCUUCAUCAGGGUUUAUCUUUCUUCAUAAAUCUCAUCAUUUUCUACCAAAAACUAUCUUCAGUUAUUCAUUAUAUCCUUUAGGAAUCUAGGUGUUGUUAAUUAUUCUUGAAACAAACCAAGAAAUCUCUAUUUGAUGGGGUUUUGGGGUUUGAUUUGACAGCUCUAGGGUUUUGUCAUUUUGUGCUUAUGAUUUUGUUUUUUUUGUUAUUGUGCUUGGCUGGGAUUUUGAUCUCGUUGGAGAUUUUCCUGCAAAGACACAAUCUUUCAUUGUUUUGUUGAUUGGGCACAAAUCAUAUUUUGAAGGUGUUCCGGUGAGGUGAGUAUCCGGUGGUCCGUGUAUGACAUGUGUCGAUGUCAAUAUGUGUGGUUACUUCCGUUACUUUCAUUUUUAAAAAAAUUCUUAUUGGUGCUUUGUGUUUCAAUCGGUGUUUCGUAGGGGGAAAUUGAGUGGUGUUUUAGAGUAUGUCUUUAGGACUGGUUAUGAAAGAAUUUUUGUUUUAUGAACAGCAAUUGAUCGUUAGAAUAUUGACUUCGAGCAUAAAAUGAGGUCAUUUUGUUAGGUAUGAUGUUUUGAUUGUAAACUUGGAGCUUCGAGUGAAGAGCAGAGAGUUACAAUCUUGCUUCUUCUCAUACAGCUCCAUAAAACAAUAGCCGUUUAUCAAACAGGAAUGAAACCAAUUUCAUUCUUUUUGUAAAUUUUUAUGGCAUAAAUUCGUUUGACAUUAUCAACAACAUUGGUAUUAAAUCAGUUUACGCAGAUGAUAGUUGAAGGUUUUCGCUAGUAUUUUUUUCUUCACCAAAGUUUGAACUCUGGUCCUUUAAUCCUUUGCUCAAACCAGUUAAACUACCCAACCUAUGAAAUAAGCAAAGAUAAGUGUUAGAAACUAAGACCUGGCAAGCUAAACAAUAAAUGCUUGGACGCAAAGAUAAGCGUUAGAAUUUAAGGCCUGGCAAGCGAAACAAUAAAAGCUUAGACUUAACUGCUACUGUGGGAAUGGCCACGUUCUGCUUUUUUUCUUUCUUUCUUUCUUCCUUCAGAAUUGGUAAUCUAAGGGUGUAAAUCUAUUAACACUUCUCGCACUCUUCAAUAAUUGUGUCUUGUAUAAUAAAAUAAACCACUUUAUUUUGUUAAAUAUAAAUUCUAUUAUAUUGAUUUAUUUUCAGGGCAACAAUGGCAUCCAUCUCAGCUGUGAAUAUUUCCCCACUAUGCAUGUUUCAACCCGCAAACCGCAUUCAAUCAACCAGCACUACCUUAGUGAAGUGCCCUUCCGCUUUUGGCUCUAUGAGAAGUGUUUCCAGAUCUUUUGGCUUGAAGUCAUCCUCUUCAUAUAGAACAACUGCCAUGGCUGCU